rnacentral:rRNA from 1 species
GGGGAAUUUUGCGCAAUGGGGGAAACCCUGACGCAGCAACGCCGCGUGGAGGAUGAAAUCCCUUGGGAUGUAAACUCCUUUCGAUAGGGAAGAUAAUGACGGUACCUAUAGAAGAAGCCCCGGCUAACUUCGUGCCAGCAGCCGCGGUAAUACGAGGGGGGCAAGCGUUGUUCGGAAUUAUUGGGCGUAAAGGGUGCGUAGGCGGUUUGACAAGUCUCAUGUGAAAUCUUCGGGCUCAACCCGAAGUCUGCAUGGGAAACUGUCGGGCUUGAGUAUGGGAGAGGUGAGUGGAAUUUCCGGUGUAGCGGUGAAAUGCGUAGAUAUCGGAAGGAACACCUGUGGCGAAAGCGGCUCACUGGACCAUAACUGACGCUGAUGCACGAAAGCUAGGGGAGCAAAC